rnacentral:tRNA from 1 species
UUAGUUGAAGCCAAAAGGGAGGCAUUUUAAUGUUAAUAAAAGGAUUGAAUUCUAUUCCAACUAAA